UGGGGAAUAUUGGACAAUGGGGGCAACCCUGAUCCAGCAAUUCUGUGUGCACGAGGAAGGUUUUCGGAUUGUAAAGUGCUUUCAGCAGGGAAGAAGGAAGUGACGGUACCUGCAGAAGAAGCGACGGCUAAAUACGUGCCAGCAGCCGCGGUAAUACGUAUGUCGCAAGCGUUAUCCGGAAUUAUUGGGCAUAAAGGGCGUCUAGGCGGCCAGACAAGUCUGGGGUGAAAACUUGCGGCUCAACCGCAAGCCUGCCCUGGAAACUGUCUGGCUAGAGUGCUGGAGAGGUGGACGGAACUGCACGAGUAGAGGUGAAAUUCGUAGAUAUGUGCAGGAAUGCCGAUGAUGAAGAUAGUUCACUGGACGGCAACUGACGCUGAAGUGCGAAAGCUGGGGGAGCGAACAGGAUUAGAUACCCUGGUAGUCCCAGCCGUAAACGAUGAUUACUGGGUGUGGGCAUGAAGAGUGUCCGUGCCGAAGCAAAUGCGAUAAGUAAUCCGCCUGGGGAGUACGGCCGCAAGGCUG
rnacentral:rRNA from 1 species